UCGAAGGAGACAGUGCGGUAUCCACGGA
rnacentral:sRNA from 1 species